rnacentral:rRNA from 1 species
UACGUAGGGCGCAAGCGUUGUCCGGAAUUAUUGGGCGUAAAGAGCUCGUAGGCGGUCUGUUGCGUCUGCCGUGAAAACCCGGGGCUUAACCCCGGGCCUGCGGUGGAUACGGGCAGGCUAGAGGUAGGUAGGGGAAAGUGGAAUUCCCGGUGUAGCGGUGAAAUGCGCAGAUAUCGGGAGGAACACCGGUGGCGAAGGCGGCUCUCUGGGCCGUACCUGACGCUGAGGAGCGAAAGCGUGGGGAGCGAACAGG